UACGUAGGGUCCGAGCGUUGUCCGGAAUUAUUGGGCGUAAAGGGCUCGUAGGCGGUCUGUUGCGUCGGGAGUGAAAACUUACAGCUUAACUGUGAGCGUGCUUCCGAUACGGGCAGACUUGAGGUAUUCAGGGGAGAACGGAAUUCCUGGUGUAGCGGUGAAAUGCGCAGAUAUCAGGAGGAACACCAAUGGCGAAGGCAGCUCGCUGGAACGGUACUGACGCUGAGGCGCGAAAGCGUGGGGAGCAAACAGG
rnacentral:rRNA from 1 species